rnacentral:rRNA from 1 species
UACAGAGGUGGCAAGCGUUGUUCGGAAUUACUGGGCGUAAAGGGCGCGUAGGCGGCCGCCUAAGUCAGACGUGAAAUCCCCAAGCUUAACUUGGGAACUGCGUCUGAUACUGGGUGGCUUGAGUUCGGGAGAGGAAUGUGGAAUUCCAGGUGUAGCGGUGAAAUGCGUAGAUAUCUGGAGGAACACCGGUGGCGAAGGCGGCAUUCUGGACCGAAACUGACGCUGAGGCGCGAAAGCCAGGGGAGCAAACGGG